UCUUUUGUGGCCAUACCAUUCACACAUUUCAUGUCGUUUUCACACAAUAUGCAAUCAGUGAACACAUUUCCACAAUGCUUACAUUUUCUUAACAGACAAGCUAUACCUCCCAACAAAAUUAUGGAUUGUUUUUGUAGUAUUCACGAAUGUUAACACACAACAUCCCACAAUAGCAAAAACAAUAUUCCAAACCUUAGAUACAGUAUAAAAACCUCUGCUUCUGCAAUGAUAUCAGUUCAAAAACAAUAUAUCUCAGCUGAUAAUAAACAAACAAUUGAAUAAUUGACACACAGCUGAUUUAUGUUGGGUGAAUUGGGCCAACCACAGCUGAUUCCAGUCUGGCUUAGACUCAGUGGAAGGGGUUAUUUUUUUCUAUUACUAUAAAAUGAGGACUUUGAGGAGUGAUGUUUUUGGAAACAGAAACAGAAAAAGACAAACACUGUAAUGUUUGGACGUGGAAGAGGAAGAGCAAGGGGCCCAGGGAGAAGACCAGCUCCAGUGAGAGAUGCAGGGCCAGGGAGAGGUGCAGUGAGAGGUGCAGUAGGAGGUGCAGGUGCAGGAAGAGGAGCAGGCCCAAGGAGAGGGCAAGGUAGAGGUGUAAGAAUGUGUGGUGGUGGCAUUGCAAGGGCUGCAAGAACAGUAGUCAGUGAUGAAAUUCGUGCCACUAUCAUUGACUAUGUAAUCAACCACACUAAGAGAGGCUGGUGAAAGAGUGCAACCCAAUUUGAGGCGGUCAACGGUUGCCUCCAUUAUUCGCAUCUUUCAACAAACCAACAGGUAAGUAUUGCAUUUUAUAUGGAUUGUUUCUAUUCUCACUUGACAUGUCAAUAAGGUCAUACAGUAAUGCAUAUGUUGAUUUUUUUCCCCUCUAAAGAAUGCAACGUCUUCCACCCUCUGGGGGAAGAGGAAAGCUCCUCAAUAAUGAUCAAGAGCUUGCAAUUGUAGAAAUGGUUGUUGCAAAUAAUGCAAUAAAACUGCAUGAAAUUAAAACUAGAAUUGUGGAGGACCAUGAGAUAUUUGGCAAUAUAGAAAGCAUCAGCCUCACAACCAUUACACGGACAUUGUCCAAACACAGAGUGCGGAUGAAGCAGCUCUACACUGUUCCCUUUGAGAGGAACAGUGAGAGAGUCAAGGAGCUACGACGACAAUAUUUCCAGAGAGUUAUGGAAUUGAAGGCCAACCAGGCCCCUCAUGAAUUCAUUUACAUAGAUGAGGCAGGAUUCAAUCUAUCCAAAAGGCGUCGACGUGGACAAAAUAUAAUUGGAAAAAGGG